CCCUCCGGCCGGGGACAACACUCCGAAAGGGGUGCUAAUACCGGAUACGAAGUCUGUGCCGCAUGGUACGGAUUUGAAAGAUGGCCUCUAUUUAUAAGCUAGUCGCCGGGGGAUGGGCCUGCGUCCGGAUUAGCGUGGUUGGUGGGGUAACGGCCUACCAAGGCGACGAUCGGUAGCCGGUCUGAGAGGAUGAACGGCCACAUUGGGACUGAGACACGGCCCAGACUCCUACGGGAGGCAGCAGUGGGGAAUCUUCCGCAAUGGGCGCAAGCCUGACGGAGCAACGCCGCGUGAAGUGAGGAAGUUCUUCGGAACGUAAAGCUCUGUUGUUCCUGACGAACCUCCCCUCUAUCAACAACGGAGGGGAACUGACGGUAGGGAACGAGGAAGCCACGGCUAACUACGUGCCAGCCGCAGC
rnacentral:rRNA from 1 species